UACGUAGGGGGCAAGCGUUGUCCGGAAUUAUUGGGCGUAAAGCGCGCGCAGGCGGUUUUGUAAGCCUGAUGUUAAAGCCCGGGGCUCAACCUCGGUUCGCAUUGGAAACUGUGUAACUUGAGUGCAGAAGAGGAAAGUGGUAUUCCACGUGUAGCGGUGAAAUGCGUAGAUAUGUGGAGGAACACCAGUGGCGAAGGCGACUUUCUGGUCUGUAACUGACGCUGAGGCGCGAAAGCGUGGGGAGCAAACAGG
rnacentral:rRNA from 1 species